CACUCUCCCCCUCUCGUCCCACAGCCGCCACCCCAACCCUCUCGAUCCCCAACCACCCAGCCGCCACCAGUGCCGUCCUCUGUCCUCUCCCCCAACCCUGGCCGCCGGCAACCCCUCCCCUCCCCUUCUCUCCCAAGGCCGCGGUCGGAUCCGCGCUCCCUCCUCGCUCAUGACAUAGACCUAGCCGCAUGGCAUGGCCAUGGCCAUGGCGGCGGCCAGAUCCACCCCCUCCCCUGCUCCGUUCCCUCGACGCCCGGCGGCCAGAUCCACCACCUCCCCUGCUCCGUUCCCUCUCUCCCAGAUCCAUACGCAGCCGCCGCCAUCCUAUCCCCUUCCCUCACCUCACAAUCUCCCUCUCCCCGACCCAUACCUCCCUCUCUCUGCCAUCCCAACCCCUACCCCGCCGCCGGCCUCCCCCAUCCCCACCGCCGACGACCUCCUCAUCUCCCACAACCUUAGCCCCGCCGCCGCGUCCCUCCUCCUCCUCUCCCACCGCGCACAGAUCGGCGAGGCACCACAUCUGGUGGCUGACGUCUCCGCCUCCGCCGGCCAGGUGCUCGUCAAGCGGCUCCAGGAGUCUCCGCCUCCGCCGGCUCCGCCGGGCGCCCCCGCCGUGGUGGCGUUGGUCCGGCAGGUGAUGGCAUCGGCGGAGCUCGGGGCCAAGGUGGGGCGGCAGCUCGGAGCUCCGGCGCACCGAGGGCAACGCGUGCUUCCGCAAGGCCCGCGUCGGUGCCGCCAUCGACUGCUACACCGAGGCGAGCGCGCGCACCCCCCAAAACCUCCUCCUUCCUCCCCCAAUCCCCUUCUUCGCGGCCGGCGAUUCGAUCCGUGGAAUCCCCUCCGGUUAUCGAAUGCAAGAAUUGAUUGGUUGGUUUCCAGGCGAUUGCGCUGUGCCCCGGCGUCGCGGUCUACUGGGUGAACCGGGGCCUCUGCCACUUCCGCCGCAAGGACUGGGCCAGGGUCGAGGAGGACAGCAGGAGGGCGCUCGCGCUCGACGAUGCCUCCGUCAAGGGACACUAUCUGCUAGGGUGCGCUCUGCUCGAUAAGGAGGACUGCGCUCUCGCCGUCAAGGAGUUCGAGAAGGUGACCCAAGGUUGCUGAAGAGGAGCAGCAGCCGCACAAGAGUAUCUGAAGAUGACUCCUCCGUUUCUAACCCAUCCCCUUCCUUCCACUGUUUUGGAUGAUGAACUUGAUCCUGCUUAAUUAAUUAAUUUCUCAUCGUGCUUAAUUAGUUGUAAAUGUGCCCCCUUAUUGAAGAAGAAGAAGAUAAUACAAAUGUAAUUUAAUUGGAUGGUCCCUUUCAUCGUGCUUAAUUAGCUGUAAAUGUGCCUCCCUUACUGAAGAAGAUAAGAAUCCAUAUGUCUUAUGCAAAAUUAACUUUGUCAUCUUGUAAGCACUCUAGGCAGUGUCUAGAGGGUGAAAAUAUGAGAACAAAAAAGAAUUACUGGAUUAAUUUAAAACAUCCAUCCUUUACUCCGUCCAUGUCAUUGUUAUUUACCCCUGGGAGUAUUUUUAACUUGAAAAUCUCUGGUGAACUGCCAUUUCAAGUACAUUUGCUUGCUCUGUUAAUUUUUUGGGUUAAUCCAUCUUGCUCUGUUAAGUUAAAUUUGAUAUGUGGAGUAGCAGCAGUAAGCUAGACCCUCCAUCUUGCUCUGUACAUAGUCAAAGCUACUCCAAGUUAGCAGCAAUACUGUUAACUUCUCAAUUUGCUUGGAUUACAUUUAACUUCUAGUACUCCAGUAGUCUAGUAAUUUUGCUUAGAGUAUUUAACAAGAUUGAACUGUACAUGUGUGGAGUAAUUUUGCUGGGAGUAUUUAACAAGAUUGAUAGUGGGUUCUAUGCAUCCCCAUUUAUGAGUUAUGCAGAAUAAGAAUUACAAUUUGCUGCAAUUCAGAUGUUUUGAAUUCUUCAAUCUUGAAUUGUUCAAUGAUGAUAGCUAUCUUGCAUCGUACUAUAAAAUCAUGGAUCGGCAACUAGGUGAUUGUCAAUCUGUUCUUGCUAGAUGUGUUGUUGUUUUUCUUCUUCUAAGAUAAGAUGGUAGCAUCACAUGUCAUCCUAUCAUGUUGUACUAGUUCCUGAAGUGUAAGAUAAGAUGGUGGCAUCAGAUGUGUGUUCUGACUUGUGACUGCUUACUACAUGGAUACAUGCAACUAGCUAGCAACCUAGCAGUACUAGUAAGAAUAUAUGUGACUAAUUCCCUCCCUAUACCUUGUGAUUGAUUCCAGGUAUAUACAGAUGCCAUCUUUGUCUGGCAACAUAUGCACCUGAUUACAUUCAGGUGCAUAUAGUAUACUUGAACAGUGUAAACAUAUGCAUCUGCAAAAUUAUCUCAUUCAUAGUGUGGUGCCUAUGUAUACCAGUUAUCAAUUGGCUUGAUUUAGGCUUUUGAUAGUCAGUGUCUCAGUGACAGAAAUAACUCAAAAGCUAUACCUUUAGCUGUGCUGGCAAUCGAAUGUAUAUAAUCGUAACCGUUAGUUAUUACCGUAGCUAGCAGAUCUCUUUAGUAAGCAGUAACUGGUAGUUCUCAUAAUCCAUCCCAUAGAUUACUUCCCCAAUGUGUGUUCCAAGGGCUUUACCUGUUAGAAUUGAUGCUUGUUUCUACUAAGUGUUGCACUUGUUUCUACUAAGUUUUAACUGUGAAUCUGUUGUUUCACAUAUACUAUAUACAACUGAUGCCUUGAAGAAGUCAGCUCCCCUUGGAUGGUGCAGUGUAGCAAAUAAAUGUUGAUUCAUUCAUUCUUUGAUGUUGGCUUUCAUUCUUCCAAAGUUGGGUGUACAUGAGCUCUAGGAAGAAUCCCGAAGAUAAACCACACCCAGCAAUGUGUUUUAGCUCACUAGAGAUAGUUAUGCUUGCAGCUAGUUAUGUGUAUAUUUAGUUAUAUUUUAUAGCUGAAUACCAGAAUUGUACUAUGCUUGGCUGUUGUAUGAAAUAUUAUGCCUUAUUGGCUCUUUUUGAAUCAAAUUAUCUAAUUGCACAAAUA